rnacentral:rRNA from 1 species
AUGUUGAAACGAGUACUCGACGAAACAAAACAGAUACCCGGAAUAACGACCAGGACUGGACACCAAUGCAGUGAACAAGAGAAGGAAUUAGAUGAAAGAAUGAAGAAGACAGUGGUGCAACAAACAACGACCAUGAUUGAUUCUCUCGAACAACUUAGAGAAUUUCAAGACAUUGAUCGCAGAGUGAGCUUUCAAGAAGAGACGACGCUGAAGUUGCAGGAUCGAGCAGACGCAGGAGACACAGCUGCACUUGUACAUGGCAACCACACGAAAGAAGUCAUAGCCGCAGCAGAACAAGGAGGGAGGAGAAAAAGAAAGAAGGAAGAACAGGACCAUCAAAACAAACAUGAAGGGAAGAAAAGGAUAACAAAAUCAAGAACAAAGAACUCGAGAAUUAGCCAGAGGGAGACAAAAGAACAUGACAAUGUGCAAAAAGAGCAAAACAAGGAGCACAUACCAACCAACACAGCAACUGCCGAAGGACAGCAAGAACAAGGUAGAAAAGUAGCUACAAAAGCAGAGAAUCAGGAUGAGAAACAGUCAGACAAGUAUUAUAUCGACGCUCCCGCAAACGAGCCAUGGGCUGAUCUAGCAUCGACCGUUAACAGCACGACAGAAAAACAAGAAGAAAACAACAAAGAAGAGGUAUUACAAGCACAGCAAAGAGAAGAGGAUGCCCAUGCAAAACAGAAAGUUCAUAUAGAAGAACUUUUCAGCACAAGAGCAUUUCAGAUGACAGAUACAGGGGAGAAAGCCUCAAACACUCCACCCGAUAACACACCCAAGGCUGGCAUACAAAGCAAAGAAAAAGUGGAUGCACAAACGGAUAUCCCAACCACCAGCGCAAAGGAAACAAUCGAGGACAGUCAUGCCAAAGAACAGCAAGGAGUAGAGACAGAGCAAACCAAAAAACAAGGGCAAAUGCUGACUAAAACGGUACCCAGUACACCAUCAUCAAAGACCAACGAGAUGCAAGAAACAGAGGAGAGCACCAAUAUUCAAGGCAAACAAACACAACAACACAAGGGAAUGGAACAAGCAGAAGAUGUCCCUCCAACAAUGGACAACCUAACCACCAUAGACCAGGCCAGAAAACCUUCGCUGUCCGCGCAAGAAAUAACAGAGAUGGCAACGUCGAUGCAAAAGAUCGAAAAGCCACAAGACAAAAACGACAACACCACGGAUGAAUAA